ACUAAAGCUAGCCCAACCAUAAACAAAUAUGUAAAAACACAAUUACUGCUUAAAAAAUAAAACAUUCACCACACUAAAGUAUAGGAGAUAGAAAUAUUUAUUUGGAGCUAUAGAGAAAGUACCGUAAGGGAACGAGUGAAAGAGUUAAUUAAAAGUAUAAAAUAGCAAAGAUUACCCCUUGUACCUUUUGCAUAAUGAUUUAACUAGAAAAAACCUAGCAAAGAGACCUUAAGUUAAGCACCCCGAAACCAGACGAGCUAUCCGUGAAUAGCUAAAAUGAGCAAACUCGUCUAUGUAGCAAAAUAGUGAGAAAAUUUAUGGAUAGAGGUGAAAAGCCUAUCGAGCCUGGUGAUAGCUGGUUGUCCAGACUAGAAUUUUAGUUCAACUUUAAAUUUACCUCAACAAACUAAUAAUUUAUAUGUAAAUUUAAAAGUUACUCUAAAGGGGUACAGCUCUUUAGACCAAGGAUACAACCUUAAUUAGAGAGUAAACUAAAUUAAUCAACCAUAGUUGGCCUAAAAGCAGCCACCAAUUAAGAAAGCGUUCAAGCUCAACAAACACUCACAUCUUAAUUUAAUAUAUUAAUAUCAUCUCCUAAUUAUUCACUGGACUAAUCUAUAUUAUAAUAAUAGAAGAAAUACUGUUAAUAUGAGUAACAAGAUUAUAAUCUCCAAGCGCAAGUUUAUAUCAGACCAAAUAAUAACUGAUAGUUAACAGUCAAUUUAAAUCUAACCAAAAAAUAAACUAUUUUAACCUCUUACUGUUAACCCGACACAGGAGCGCACCUAAGGAAAGAUUAAAAGAAGUAAAAGGAACUCGGCAAACACAAACCCCGCCUGUUUACCAAAAACAUCACCUCUAGCAUUACUAGUAUUAGAGGCACUGCCUGCCCAGUGACAACUGUUAAACGGCCGCGGUAUCCUGACCGUGCAAAGGUAGCAUAAUCAUUUGUUCCUUAAAUAGGGACUUGUAUGAACGGCCACACGAGGGUUUAACUGUCUCUUACUUCCAAUCAGUGAAAUUGACUUUUCCGUGAAGAGGCGGAAAUAAAUAAAUAAGACGAGAAGACCCUAUGGAGCUUUAAUUUAUAUAAUUCAACAGAAAUAACUUUACCCAAAAGGAUUAACAAAAAUUCUAACUGAAUUAAUAAUUUUGGUUGGGGUGACCUCGGAGUAUAAAUUAACCUCCGAAAUCUAUAUACCAAGACCAACUAGUCAAAGUAAAAUAUUCAAGUGAUCCAGUCUAACUGAUCAACGGAACAAGUUACCCUAGGGAUAACAGCGCAAUCCUAUUCAAGAGUUCAUAUCGACAAUAGGGUUUACGACCUCGAUGUUGGAUCAGGACAUCCCAAUGGUGCAGCAGCUAUUAAUGGUUCGUUUGUUCAACGAUUAAAGUCCUACGUGAUCUGAGUUCAGACCGGAGUAAUCCAGGUCGGUUUCUAUCUAUUUAAUAUUUCUCCCAGUACGAAAGGACAAGAGAAAUAAGGCCAACUUACAAAUAAGUGCCUUCAAGUAAAUAAAUGAUAUCAUCUAAAUUUAAUUAACUUAUUAUUAUUAAGUUACUUUAGAUCAAAGUUU
rnacentral:rRNA from 1 species